rnacentral:rRNA from 1 species
UACAGAGGUCUCAAGCGUUGUUCGGAUUCAUUGGGCGUAAAGGGUGCGUAGGUGGCGUGGUAAGUCGGGUGUGAAAUUUCGGAGCUUAACUCCGAAACUGCAUUCGAUACUGCCGUGCUUGAGGACUGGAGAGGAGACUGGAAUUUACGGUGUAGCAGUGAAAUGCGUAGAGAUCGUAAGGAAGACCAGUGGCGAAGGCGGGUCUCUGGACAGUUCCUGACACUGGGGCACGAAGGCCAGGGGAGCAAACGGG